rnacentral:lncRNA from 1 species
UACCCUUUUGUAUUCAAACUUUCAUUUGUAUCACAUGAUUUCCAGUUUUUCUCAGGCCUUCCAGAAUACAGAAUCCUUCCUCUCUCAUUUUUGUUUUUGGGUUUUUGAACCCCUGGAUUGCUGAGUUAAUUAUCUUCUGGGACUUCCUUAUGUAGAAUAUUUUAUGAACUCUUAAUUAUUGUCAAGUAAUCUUGAAUAAUUUUAUUAAUUUUGAAGGUUCAGUUUGAGGACCUGUUAAUUUUAGACCUCUUUUAUUAUUCUUGUUUUUAACAUUUCCACUAAGAUUCCUUUUCACAACAAUCUCUGACCAACAAUGUUUUUUUUUUUAUGUCUUUCUGGAUCCUAUCUCUAAGGCUUUCCCCAAAAUGCUGGUCUACAAAUCUGUAAGCCCCUGGAGGUGAAGGAAUGUUUUAUCUUUAUAUCCCCAGGACAACACACGGGCUUGCACUUUUUAGAUGCUUAUGAAAUUAUGAUUGAAUAAGUUGCUCAUGUUGUUAUGCUGAUGCAUAAGCAGGCUCUUGCUUUUUAUUCUGUGCUAUUUAGCUAGAUGUUUUGGCAAACUCUUUAAAAUGUUUUACUAUAAUUUUGAAAUGCCCAUCCUUCCUCUAAUAAUGAUAAUGUCUUUGGAAGAAAGAUCAAAGAAUAUAUUUAAUCUUUCAAAGUGUGUAUAUGGGUAUAUUGGUAUAUAUUUCAUUUUGCAAAAAGUAUAAAAGUAUUUACUACUGCCUCCUUAAAACCUCUUUCCUAUCCAAUUAUGAAAUCUUUAAACAUUAGCACAUUAGGAGAGUGGAUUUUGUUUGUUUAUUUUAAGCAUGUUCUUGAGAUUUCUUAGCUUUAGGCCUAUAUUGUAAUUACACUUUCUAAACAUUUUCUCCAUUUAAAGGAAAAAAUUGGAGAUAUCACUAUUGUGAGAGGACAAGCAAGUAUUUGUAGAAGUCCAAGAGUACCAUGGUUCUGGAUGGCCAGUGACCUGAAAUUUGUUAUUGGGGCACUGAAAAUAUUAAUAGAAGAAGAUCAGGGAUGUAGAAAAGACAUCCAAGCUAUCUUUGAGCAGGCUAACAUUUUUCAAGACAAUUAUAAAGACAUGAACACAUACAAAGUGAAUAUGGAACAGAAACCUGAUGAAUCAGAUAAAGAAGGCACAUUUUUACCAUUGGCCCCAGAAGAAGAAUUUUUACUAGGACAAUUUAAAAUAAAGCCUAAAGAGGUAAAAAAUGAAGAUUUAUCACCAGAGCAAUUAUUAGCCCAAGGGAAUUUCAAUUCAGGUAAGACAUAUAUCCUUGCUCAAAACAUUUGACCCUAAAGUUUUCUGAUAGAAAAGAGAAAUUUGCAACAAAUGUUUCCAUCACUCACCGAAUAUCUGGUCUCUAUUUCUUUUCCCUUCAUAUCUCUAAUAAUGAGAAUGUUAGCUGCUUUAUAAGGCUUUCUCAACUAUUGGUGAUCCCUCUCUUGGUGAUUGAACUAUAAGGGACAUUGGAAAUAUUCUACUAUAACAUUUUAAUUGCUAUAGAAAUCUAUCCUAUAUGUAAGUCAGAAUGUCAUUUAGAUUCUGCCUCAAAAUAUGCAGUGAUAAGAAACUCAUUUUCUCAACAUCCAGGCCACACUAUUGCUAAAUUACUUAAGCUUUUAGAAAAUAUUUCAGUACAAUGUUUUUCCUAAGGAUUUUUUUUUAUAAUUUAGUCCUUUUCCCUUCUUUUGAAAUAAUACAGAAAAAGAUCUUGUUCCUCUUUCCCGAUUACUAUCCAUUUGACCUAUAAAAUCAACUUAUUUUCCACCUAAGUCUUUUUUUUAAUCUCUAUGAUCAUGUUUAGCCUGAAAACAAUCUUUAUAUGAUUUCUUAUUACAUCCUUGGGACAUGGUUUUGUUUAGAGUCUAUUAUCCAUCCUACUUUAAUGACAUCCAUUUUAGUUUAUCAACAUUCUGUUGGUCUCAUUGCAACAAAAUCUUUUUUUAAUUCAAUUACUUAUAGGAAUAUUUUUGGCCAUUUCUUUUGACAUUUUAAAAUUCAGAUACCCCCAUCUCCCUUUCCCUACCUGAGGGGGUGAAGAAUCUGAUAUAGGUUAUACUCAUACUAUCAUGUAAUACAUAUUUCCAUAUUGUUCCCAUCAUGAUAAAGACACAUAACACACAUAUUCACUAGAAAUCUCAUAAAGAUUUAUAAUAUAACUUAUAAUUUAUAAUAUAACUAUUAUAGUAGAAGAUGUCAAGUUUUGAUCUACACUCAGAUUUUUUUUUGUAGCUUCCUUGACCAUUGAUAGUAUGUUCUUCAUGUGUUACCUUGGAAGCUUUAUGAUAAU